rnacentral:rRNA from 1 species
CCUACGGGGGGCAGCAGUGGGGAAUAUUUGGCAAUGGGCGCAAGCCUGACCCAGCAACGCCGCGUGAAGGAAGAAGGCUUUCGGGUUGUAAACUUCUUUUAAGAGGGAAGAGCAGAAGACGGUACCUCUUGAAUAAGCCACGGCUAACUACGUGCCAGCAGCCGCGGUAAUACGUAGGUGGCAAGCGUUGGCCGGAUUUACUGGGUGUAAAGGGCGUGCAGCCGGGAAGACAAGUCAGAUGUGAAAUCCCGCGGCUCAACCGCGGAACUGCAUUUGAAACUGUUUUUCUUGAGUACCGGAGAGGUCAUCGGAAUUCCUUGUGUAGCGGUGAAAUGCAUAGAUAUCGCGAAGAACACUGAUGGCGAAGGCAGCAUACCGGCGCCCGACUGACGCUGAGGCACGAAAGCGUGGGGAUCGAACAGGAUUAGAUACCCUUGUAGUC